UUCCGGUUGAUCCUGCCGGACCUGACUGCUAUCGGAUUGAUACUAAGCCAUGCGAGUCUUUGCAGUAAUGCAAGGCAUACGGCUCAGUAACACGUAGUCAACUUACCCUAUGGACGAGGAUAAUCUCGGGAAACUGGGCAUAAUACUCGAUAGAUCAUAAUGCCUGGAAUGGUUUAUGGUUGAAAUGAUUCGUCGCCAUAGGAUGGGACUGCGGCCUAUCAGCUUGUUGGUGAGGUAAUGGCCCACCAAGGCGAUUACAGGUACGGGCUCUGAGAGGAGAAGCCCGGAGAUGGGUACUGAGACAAGGACCCAGGCCCUAUGGGGCGCAGCAGGCGAGAAAACUUUGCAAUGUGCGAAAGCACGACAAGGUUAAUCCGAGUGAUUUCUGCUAAAGAAAUCUUUUGCAAGUCAUAAAACCACUAGUGAAUAAGGGGUGGGCAAGUUCUGGUGUCAGCCGCCGCGGUAAAACCAGCACCUCAAGUGGUCAGGAGGAUUAUUGGGCCUAAAGCAUCCGUAGCCGGCUCUGUAAGUUUUCGGUUAAAUCCAUGUGCUCAACGCAUGGGCUGCCGAAAAUACUGCAUAGCUAGGGAGUGGGAGAGGUAGACGGUACUCGGUAGGAAGGGGUAAAAUCCUUUGAUCUAUCGAUGACCACCUGUGGCGAAGGCGGUCUACCAGAACACGUUCGACGGUGAGGGAUGAAAGCUGGGGGAGCAAACCGGAUUAGAUACCCGGGUAGUCCCAGCUGUAAACGAUGCAGACUCGAUGAUGCAUUGGCAUAUAGCCAGUGCAGUGUCGCAGGGAAGCCGUUAAGUCUGCCGCCUGGGAAGUACGUACGCAAGUAUGAAACUUAAAGGAAUUGGCGGGGGAGCACCACAAGGGGUGAAGCCUGCGGUUCAAUUGGAGUCAACGCCGGAAAGGGCGAAUUCCACAGUGG
rnacentral:rRNA from 1 species